rnacentral:rRNA from 1 species
UACGGAGGGUGCAAGCGUUAUCCGGAUUCACUGGGUUUAAAGGGUGCGUAGGUGGGUUGGUAAGUCAGUGGUGAAAUCCCCGAGCUUAACUUGGGAACUGCCAUUGAUACUAUCAGUCUUGAAUACCGUGGAGGUUAGCGGAAUAUGUCAUGUAGCGGUGAAAUGCUUAGAUAUGACAUAGAACACCAAUUGCGAAGGCAGCUGGCUACACGAAUAUUGACACUGAGGCACGAAAGCGUGGGGAUCAAACAGA